rnacentral:siRNA from 1 species
AAACGGGGUCCUUAGAUGGUA